CAGCCGCCGCGGUAAUACCGGCGGCCCGAGUGGCGGCCACUAUUAUUGGGCUUAAAGCGUCCGUAGCCGGGUUGGUUAGUCUCCCGGGAAAUCUGGCCGCUUAACGGUCAGAAUUCCGGGAGAUACUGCCAGCCUAGGGACCGGGAGAGGCCGAGGGUAUUCCCGGAGUAGGGGUGAAAUCCUAUAAUCCCGGGAGGACCACCAGUGGCGAAGGCGCCCGGCUGGCACGCGCCCGACGGUGAGGGACGAAAGCUGGGGGAGCAAAGGGGAUUAGAUACCCCCGUAGUCCCAGCUGUAAACGAUGCGGGCUAGAUGUUGGGCGGGCCUCGAGCCCGCCCAGUGUCGUAGGGAAGCCGUUAAGCCCGCCGCCUGGGGAGUACGGCCGCAAGGCUGAAACUUAAAGGAAUUGGCGGG
rnacentral:rRNA from 1 species